rnacentral:rRNA from 1 species
CCUACGGGGGGCUGCAGUGGGGAAUAUUGCACAAUGGGCGCAAGCCUGAUGCAGCCAUGCCGCGUGUGUGAAGAAGGCCUUCGGGUUGUAAAGCACUUUCAGCGGGGAGGAAGGCGUUAAGGUUAAUAACCUUGUCGAUUGACGUUACCCGCAGAAGAAGCACCGGCCAACUCCGUGCCAGCAGCCGCGGUAAUACGGGGGGUGCAAGCGUUAAUCGGAAUUACUGGGCGUAAAGCGCACGCAGGCGGUCUGUCAAGUCGGAUGUGAAAUCCCCGGGCUCAACCUGGGAACUGCAUUCGAAACUGGCAGGCUAGAGUCUUGUAGAGGGGGGUAGAAUUCCAGGUGUAGCGGUGAAAUGCGUAGAGAUCUGGAGGAAUACCGGUGGCGAAGGCGGCCCCCUGGACAAAGACUGACGCUCAGGUGCGAAAGCGUGGGGAGCAAACAGGAUUAGAUACCCUUGUAGUC